AAAUCACUGGAGGACGCUGGACGCUAUGACGCCAGCGAAAGAGGCGGAGCCAAUCCCACUAGGGAGGAACUGAAGUUUAUAUUGUGCGUCGGCAAUGGUGUGGAAUCUGAGUAUGAAUGUUGUCUUUCAGCAGGAGUCCAGGGUGCGUUUCGCCUUUUGCAUGAAGUCAACUGAGAGAAAGAUUUGAUUUGUUCCAUGGCCUCUUAGUGGAACACAAUGAAAUUCUAGAAUUCAGAAGUGACCAUUUGCACUUCAAAAUGCUUGAAGUGGAUUUGAAAAGCUGAGGAUUCAUCUAAAAAUUCCAGGAUUGCCAUCACUUAAAUCUCCUGUGUCGUUCCACUAACCUACAAGUGACCCUGCUUCAACACGCACGCACGCGCGCGCACACACACGCACACGCGCACGCACGCACGCACGCACACACGCACACACGCA